AUUGAACGCUGGCGGCAGGCUUAACACAUGCAAGUCGAGCGGGGUGAUGGUGCUUGCACUAUCACUUAGCGGCGGACGGGUGAGUAAUGCUUAGGAAUUUGCCUAUUAGUGGGGGACAACAUCUCGAAAGGGAUGCUAAUACCGCAUACGUCCUACGGGAGAAAGCAGGGGAUCACUUGUGACCUUGCGCUAAUAGAUGAGCCUAAGUCGGAUUAGCUAGUGGGUGGGGUAAAGGCCUACCAAGGCGACGAUCUGUAGCGGGUCUGAGAGGAUGAUCCGCCACACUGGGACUGAGACACGGCCCAGACUCCUACGGGAGGCAGCAGUGGGGAAUAUUGGACAAUGGGGGGAACCCUGAUCCAGCCAUGCCGCGUGUGUGAAGAAGGCCUUAUGGUUGUAAUGCACUUUAAGCGAGGAGGAGGCUCUUUUGGUUAAUACCCAAGAUGAGUGGACGUUACUCGCAGAAUAAGCACCGGCUAACUCUGUGCCAGCAGCCGCGGUAA
rnacentral:rRNA from 1 species